rnacentral:rRNA from 1 species
UACGAAGGGGGCUAGCGUUGCUCGGAAUUACUGGGCGUAAAGGGAGCGUAGGCGGACAGUUUAGUCAGAGGUGAAAGCCCAGGGCUCAACCCUGGAAUUGCCUUUGAUACUGACUGUCUUGAGUGUGGGAGAGGUGUGUGGAACUCCGAGUGUAGAGGUGAAAUUCGUAGAUAUUCGGAAGAACACCAGUGGCGAAGGCGGCUCACUGGCCCGGUACUGACGCUGAGGUGCGAAAGCGUGGGGAGCAAACAGG